UUGCAUCCUCUCCAACCACUGGGACACCCUCAGCUUCUACAGAAGGACCACAAGAGUCAACAAGAUGAAGGCUCUGCUGUGCACUCUUGUCCUUGGUCUGCUUGUUGCCAAUCAAGGGGAAGCUCAUGGAGACACCUCACAGGUCAAAUGUCCAGAUUCCCUCAAGCUUCCUCUAAAACAAUCAUCAUGAUAAAAAAUGACAAAAUGACACGAAAGAUGAUUCCUGCCAAGCAGGAUACUGAAGAUGACUUCUGUGUAACCUUGGUCUUAGGAGGAACAACCAUUGGUUCACGAUGCAUCACACCAACACAAUGAUCGUAUAAAAAGUGGCAAGUCACAACCUCUCCAGCUACUGGGACAACCUCAGCCUUGACCAAAGAAAGACUAUGGGAGCAUCCAAAUGAAGGUUCUGUUCCUGAGUUUACUACUUGGUGUGGUUUGUGGCGCCCAAGAAGAGGAAGCUCAGCCAAGUCUCUCAGAGCUUUCAGGGCAAUGGAGAACCACAUACAUUGCAUCCAGUAACCUGGGGAAGAUAGCGCCAACGGGCCAUUCAGGGUUUACCUCCAGAAACUUCUGUUUGAUGAUGAACAGGGCACAGUAGACUUCUACUUUGAUGUCAAGUAAGUAAAAAUCACCCAGAAGGAAAAUACAUGUAAACCCUGAGCCCCAGGGAGGGUGUGUCUUCCCCAUGUGCAGAGAACUCUCUAGAAGAUGUUGAGAGCAUGACGCCCUGAGUUGUAGGGCUGAGCAGGGUCUCUGAACUGGCAGGGGGAGUUCCCCUGUGAGCCUCCAGGGAAUGUCCUGGAGCCUUUGCUUAAAAGGGGGUCCCAAAAGCUCCACUGGCAUCAAUUCAUUACAGGAAAGAGGGUCACGAAUAGAAUCUCCCUAUGCCAAAUAAGCAUGUAAUAUGUACUUGAGUGUUUCCUUGUGGGUGUGUGUGUAUGUCUCAAUGUUCAUGUUUUUCAGGGUUUAAUCCUCUUAAUGACACUGUGAUGGAAGAAGAGUAUGGGUUUUGGUAAAAUGAAAAGUUUCUUUUCCUAAGUUUGUAAUUUCCCCCCUGUCAUAUUAUUUAAUGAAUCAUUGCCAGGGUUGUGAGAACCCCCAAGAUGUGUCAUGAUGGCCACAACUCAUUGUUUGCAUGAAGUAUUUUUUAAAAACAGGUAUACUUUUAUUUUUCUAAAAUUCUAGACUCUUCCAUAUUUGGCUUUGAACAUGAUUUACUUUGUAUUCGUAGUUUAUCUUUGGCACUACAGCUCUGACUUAAUAGACAAGCCCUGCUUGACCUCUUGACAGUGACUUGUCCUUAGAGACCAUGUUUCUUCUCUUUUCAAGGUCACAUUGUUACAGGCACUAAGCUUACAUGCUACAGUUAAUCUUUGAGGAGAAACAAAGAAAAUCCUAAUUUUAUAUCAAAUUUUUUCAUGACUUUAAUCAACCUGCUUGAAUGUAUUUUUUUUUAAUAAACCAGGGAAAAUGGGAAAAUAAACAUGUCAUGGGAAUAAAGCAAGAUGAUGGCACUUAUGCUGCUGACUAUGAGGUUGAAAAUGUAUUUGACAUUCUUUAUGCAUCCGACAACGUUCUGGUAGCACAUAACAACGUGGAUGAACAUGGCAAGAAAACAGUACUGACUGGACUAUUUGUUAAACCAAAUAUUGAAGAGGAAGGCUUGCAGAAGUUCCAGGAGCUGAUGGAAGAGAAAGGGACUGAUGAGAAAAAAUAUCGUGAAUUUCAUCAAAAGUGAUGACUAGCUUCCCUGAGGAAAGCUACGUAUUUCAAAACAUCCUCAGUAAGAGUCGCUGAGACCGGACACAUCCUCAUAUCCCUGGAAUCAAGGCUAACAACCAGAAGAUGACUUUCCUGGUUCCUGAUUAACAUGAUCCUUCUUUCUUCACACUCACACUCCUUUUUGCAUCUCAUCUCUCCUGGUCACUAAUCAUGUCCUGUCUGGUGGCAUUGGAUUUCUGAGGGCUUAAAUAAAUUAGUUUAAUUCACAA